rnacentral:lncRNA from 1 species
UUGAGGCUGCGGUAUUGAACUGGAGGAACCAGGGGAUGGAAUCUGAACAGCACCUCCACCAUAGGGACUGUUUGCAUUGUUCAUAGAAUUUUGCUGUCUAGAGUUCAUGGAGUUCUGGUGUAGAAGCCCAACUAUGGUGCUGGAAGAGGUAGAGGCAGAUGCUGGGUUGAGGGAGUUAUUUACACUAGUUACACCAUUGCUAGAAGCAAGCUGCAUCGCAGUGGCCUGGACAGAACUUGGAUCAUUG